UAAUAAGUGUUUUAUGGCACUUUUUAAAUCCAUAUCCACCUUGUGUGCAAUGUCAGUCGAUCUUCUUCAUGGAGAUCGACCAAACAUCAACCUUUAUUUUUUAACUCUUUAUCUGAAAAAUAUUAUGAAUAAACAAUUCAAAAUA
rnacentral:misc_RNA from 1 species